CUACGGGACGCUCCAGUGGGGAAUCUUGGACAAUGGGCGCAAGCCUGAUCCAGCCAUGCCGCGUGAGUGAUGAAGGCCUUAGGGUCGUAAAGCUCUUUCGCCAGAGAUGAUAAUGACAGUAUCUGGUAAAGAAACCCCGGCUAACUCCGUGCCAGCAGCCGCGGUAAUACGGAGGGGGUUAGCGUUGUUCGGAAUUACUGGGCGUAAAGCGCGCGUAGGCGGACUAGUCAGUCAGGGGUGAAAUCCCGGGGCUCAACCCCGGAACUGCCUUUGAUACUGCUAGUCUAGAGUUCGAGAGAGGUGAGUGGAAUUCCGAGUGUAGAGGUGAAAUUCGUAGAUAUUCGGAGGAACACCAGUGGCGAAGGCGGCUCACUGGCUCGAUACUGACGCUGAGGUGCGAAAGUGUGGGGAGCAAACAGGAUUAGAUACCCUGGUAGUC
rnacentral:rRNA from 1 species